AACGCAAGUUGCGCCCGAGGCUUGUCCGAGGGCAUUUCCGCUAGAGCGUCACCGCGCCCCCCCACCGAUCCGCUCCCGCGGUGCCGCGAGCCCGGGUCGAGUGAAAGUGGCCGUCCCGGCGGGCCUCCUCCUCGCGAGGGCCCCAAGGGUGGGCUGAAAUGGAUGCAACGGGGCCGCCGUGGCGACGCAGUCCGCGAUCGGGUGACGUCCCGGGCAGCCGCCCGGGACUCUUUCUAAGUGCGUGGCUGCGUCCCCCAGUCGGUUCCCUGGCUCGUGCAGGUCGAGCGCGCGCCCCCCGCGGCGCGCGCGUCACGCAUCAGACCUCUAAUCGGAAAAGACCACCCGCUGAGUUUAA
rnacentral:misc_RNA from 1 species